AGGAAAUAGAUACCCGGGUAGUCCCAGCUGUAAACGAUGCAGACUAGGUGUUUGGACGGCCACGUGCCGUUCUAGUGCCGCAGGGAAGCUGUUAAGUCUGCCGCCUGGGGAGUACGAUCGCAAGAUUGAAACUUAAAGGAAUUGGCGGGGGAGCACCACAAGGGUGAAGCUUGCGGUUUAAUUGGAGUCAACGCCGGAAAUCUCACCGGGAGCGACAGCAGUAUGAAAGCCAGAUUAAAGGUCUUGCUAGACGAGCUGAGAGGAGGUGCAUGGCCGUCGCCAGUUCGUGCCGUGAGGUGUCCUGUUAAGUCAGGCAACGAUCGAGACCCGCGUCCUCUGUUGCAACCAGCUUUGAGCUGGGCACACUGAGGAGACCGCCACUGAUAAAGUGGAGGAAGGAGCGGGCCACGGCAGGUCAGUAUGCCCCGAAUCUCCCGGGCCACACGCGAGCUGCAAUGGCAGGUACAAU
rnacentral:rRNA from 1 species